rnacentral:lncRNA from 1 species
UGCAAUUCUCUCUUCUCUUCUUCUUCUCUCAUCUCGCUUUCUCUUCUUCUCUCUUCUUUUAUCUCUUCCUCUUUUCUUCUCUCUUCUUCUCUUCUUUUCUCUUCUUCUCUUCUUUUCUCUUCUUCUCUCUCUUUCUUUUCUUCUUCUCUCCUCUCUUCUUNUCUUCUCCUUUCUUCUUGUAUUCUCUCUUUUUCUUCUCUUUCUCUCUUCUUAUCCUUGAUCUCUUUAAGUUUGACUCCAAAUUCUAAUUCUCUCCUAAGAAACCCAUGAUCACUUAAACUCUCAAGAAACAUUUUUCCAUUUUCAAUGCAAUCUCUAAUUAGUUCUAGGUUUCUUUUAAUGCUUGAAGGCACAAACUUUCU